rnacentral:rRNA from 1 species
AGUGAACGCUGGCGGUAGGCCUAACACAUGCAAGUCGAACGGCAGCACAGUAAGAGCUUGCUCUUACGGGUGGCGAGUGGCGGACGGGUGAGGAAUACAUCGGAAUCUACUUUUUCGUGGGGGAUAACGUAGGGAAACUUACGCUAAUACCGCAUACGACCUACGGGUGAAAGCAGGGGAUCUUCGGACCUUGCGCGAUUGAAUGAGCCGAUGUCGGAUUAGCUAGUUGGCGGGGUAAAGGCCCACCAAGGCGACGAUCCGUAGCUGACCUGAGAGGAUGAUCAGCCACACUGGAACUGAGACACGGUCCAGACUCCUACGGGAGGCAGCAGUGGGGAAUAUUGGACAAUGGGCGCAAGCCUGAUCCAGCCAUACCGCGUGGGUGAAGAAGGCCUUCGGGUUGUAAAGCCCUUUUGUUGGGAAAGAAAAGCAGCAGGUUAAUACCCCGCUGUUCUGACGGUACCCAAAGAAUAAGCACCGGCUAACUUCGUG